CCCUAUUCAUUGUAGGUGGGGGAAACAGUUGGAACGACUGCUAAUACCGCAUAAUGUCUACGGACCAAAGGCGGGCUUCGGCUCUCGCCUUUAGAUUGGCCCAAGUGGGAUUAGCUAGUUGGUGAGGUAAUGGCUCACCAAGGCGACGAUCCCUAGCUGGUUUGAGAGGAUGAUCAGCCACACUGGGACUGAGACACGGCCCAGACUCCUACGGGAGGCAGCAGUGGGGAAUAUUGCACAAUGGGCGCAAGCCUGAUGCAGCCAUGCCGCGUGUGUGAAGAAGGCCUUCGGGUUGUAAAGCACUUUCAGUCAGGAGGAAAGGUUAGUAGUUAAUACCUGCUAGCUGUGACGUUACUGACAGAAGAAGCACCGGCUAACUCCGUGCCAGCAGCCGCGGUAAUACGGAGGGUGCGAGCGUUAAUCGGAAUUACUGGGCGUAAAGCGUACGCAGGCGGUUUGUUAAGCGAGAUGUGAGAGCCCCGGGCUCAACCUGGGAACUGCAUUUCGAACUGGCAAACUAGAGUGUGAUAGAGGGUGGUAGAAUUUCAGGUGUAGCGGUGAAAUGCGUAGAGAUCUGAAGGAAUACCGAUGGCGAAGGCAGCCACCUGGGUCAACACUGACGCUCAUGUACGAAAGCGUGGGGAGCAAACGGGAUUAGAUGCCCCGGUAGUCCACGCCGUAAACGAUGUCUACUAGAAGCUCGGAGCCUCGGUUCUGUUUUUCAAAGCUAACGCAUCAAGUAGACCGCCUGGGGAGUACGGCCGCAAGGUUAAAACUCAAAUGAAUUGACGGGGCCCGCCAACAAGCGGUGGAGCAUGGUGGUUUAAUUUCGAUGCAACGCGAAGAACCUUACCUUACACUUGAACAUAACAGAGAACUUUACCAGAGAUGGUUGUUGCCUUCGGGGAACUCUGAAUAACAGGUGCUGCAUGCUUGUCGUCAGCUCGUGUUGUGAGAAUGUUGGAUUAGUUCCCGCAACGAGCCGCCACCCCUAUCCUUAGGUGCUUAGCAAGGUAUAUGCCUUGAGAACUUCUAGGAAACUGGCUGUGAAUAACGAGAGUGGGACAGCGUCAGUCAUACUGAUGCCUUACGUGUAGG
rnacentral:rRNA from 2 species